rnacentral:rRNA from 1 species
GUGGUGGGGUAAUGGCUCACCAAGGCGACGAUCCGUAACUGGUCUGAGAGGAUGAUCAGUCACACUGGAACUGAGACACGGUCCAGACUCCUACGGGAGGCAGCAGUGGGGAAUAUUGGACAAUGGGCGAAAGCCUGAUCCAGCCAUGCCGCGUGUGUGAAGAAGGUCUUCGGAUUGUAAAGCACUUUAAGUUGGGAGGAAGGGCAGUAAGUUAAUACCUUGCUGUUUUGACGUUACCGACAGAAUAAGCACCGGCUAACUCUGUGCCAGCAGCCGCGGUAAUACAGAGGGUGCAAGCGUUAAUCGGAAUUACUGGGCGUAAAGCGCGCGUAGGUGGUUUGUUAAGUUGGAUGUGAAAGCCCCGGGCUCAACCUGGGAACUGCAUCCAAAACUGGCAAGCUAGAGUACGGUAGAGGGUGGUGGAAUUUCCUGUGUAGCGGUGAAAUGCGUAGAUAUAGGAAGGAACACCAGUGGCGAAGGCGACCACCUGGACUGAUACUGACACUGAGGUGCGAAAGCGUGGGGAGCAAACAGGAUUAGAUAC